UACGUAGGUGGCUAGCGUUGUCCGGAUUUACUGGGCGUAAAGAGCGCGCAGGCGGUCGUUCAAGUCGAGUGUGAAAGCCCCCGGCUCAACUGGGGAGGGUCACUCGAUACUGAUCGACUCGAAGGCAGAAGAGGGAAGCGGAAUUCCCGGUGUAGUGGUGAAAUGCGUAGAUAUCGGGAGGAAGGCCGGUGGCGAAGGCGGCGCUCUGGAACGUUACUGACGCUGAGACACGAAAGCGUGGGGAGCAAACAGG
rnacentral:rRNA from 1 species